rnacentral:rRNA from 1 species
AUUGAACGCUGGCGGCAGGCCUAACACAUGCAAGUCGAACGAGUGGCGGACGGGUGAGUAAUGUCUGGGAAACUGCCUGAUGGAGGGGGAUAACUACUGGAAACGGUAGCUAAUACCGCAUACCAUCAGAUGUGCCGAUCGGGGAUUAGCGUGUUGGUGGGGUAACGGCCCACCAAGGCGACGAUCCCUAGCUGGUCUGAGAGGCUGACCAGCCACACUGGAACUGGGACACGGUCCAGACUCCUACGUGAGGCAGCAGUGGGGAAUAUUUCACAAUGGGCGCAAGCCGGAUUCAGCCAUGCCGCGUGUAGGAAGAAGGCCUUCGGGUUGUAAAGUACUUUCAGCGGGGAGGCGUUACCCGCAGAAGAAGCCACGGCUAACUCCGUGCCAGCAGCCGCGGUAAUAC